AGUGAACGCUGGCGGCGUGCUUAACACAUGCAAGUCGAACGAGGACGGAUUAUAGCUUGCUAUAAUUGUCAGCUAAGUGGCGCACGGGUGAGUAAUGUAUAGGUAAUAUGCCUCUUACUAAGGGAUAACAAAUGGAAACGUUUGCUAAUACCUUAUACUCCUUAUUAACAUAAGUUAAUAAGGGAAAGAUUUAUUGGUAAGAGAUUAGCCUGUAUUGUAUCAGUUAGUUGGUGGGGUAAUGGCUUACCAAGACUAUGACACAUAACUGGUUUGAGAGGAUGAUCAGUCACACUGGAGCUGAGACACGGUCCAGACUCCUACGGGAGGCAGCAGUGGGGAAUAUUGCACAAUGGACGAAAGUCUGAUGCAGCAACGCCGCGUGGAGGAUGACACAUUUCGGUGCGUAAACUCCUUUUAUAUGAGAAGAUAAUGACGGUAUUAUAUGGAUAAGCACCGGCUAACUCCGUGCCAGCCGCCGCAGUAA
rnacentral:rRNA from 1 species